rnacentral:rRNA from 1 species
UAGGGAAUCUUCCGCAAUGGGCGAAAGCCUGACGGAGCAACGCCGCGUGAGGGAUGAAGGUCUUCGGAUCGUAAAACUCUGUUAUUAGGGAAGAACAAAUGUGUAAGUAACUAUGCACGUCUUGACGGUACCUAAUCAGAAAGCCACGGCUAACUACGUGCCAGCAGCCGCGGUAAUACGUAGGUGGCAAGCGUUAUCCGGAAUUAUUGGGCGUAAAGCGCGCGUAGGCGGUUUUUUAAGUCUGAUGUGAAAGCCCACGGCUCAACCGUGGAGGGUCAUUGGAAACUGGAAAACUUGAGUGCAGAAGAGGAAAGUGGAAUUCCAUGUGUGGCGGUGAAAUGCGCAGAGAUAUGGAGGAACACCAGUGGCGAAGGCGACUUUCUGGUCUGUAACUGACGCUGAUGUGCGAAAGCGUGGGGAUCAAACAGG